rnacentral:rRNA from 1 species
CUGAAACCGCGGAUGGCUCAUUAUAACAGCUAUGAUUUGAGAGAUAUAAUCUAUUUGCCAUAAGAUAACUGUGGUAAUUCUAGAGCUAAUAUUUUAAAGAAUGCCGUGACUAACGAAGCGGUGGAUUUAUUAGAUCAAAACUAACCUGUCGCAAGACAGAAAUUUGAUGACUCUGGAUAACUUAACUGAUCGUACAACUGUUGUUGACGACGAAUCUCUUGAAAUGGCUGACCUAUCAACUUUCGAUGGUAAGAUCAAAGCUUACCAUGGUUGUAACGGGUAACGGGGAAUCAGUGUUCGAUUCCGGAGAGGGAGCCUGAGAAACGGCUACCACAUCCACGGAAGGCAGCAGGCGCGAAAAUUACCCAAUACCGGUUCGGUGAGGUAGUGACAAUAAAUAACAAUAUGGACCCUAGUGGUUUCAUAAUUGCAAUGAGAAUAUUUUAAAUACUUUAUCAAGUAUCAAUUGGAGGGCAAGUCUGGUGCCAGCAGCCGCGGUAAUUCCAGCUCCAAAAGCGUAUAUUAAAUUUGUUGCAGUUAAAAAGCUCGUAGUUGAAAUUGAGGAACUAUUCAUUAAGCGGUCUUUGAUUGCAUUUUGGAUUUUCCUUUCCGUCGUGUAUAUUGAUUAAUCACUUUAUUGGGAUUUUUUAAUAACCGACAAGUUUACUUUGAAAAAAUUAGAGUGCUUAAAGCAGGCUUUUGCUUGUAUAUUGUUGCAUGGAAUAAUGAAAUAAGACUUCGGUUUUAUUUUGUUGGUUUUCGAAACUGAAGUAAUGAUUAAAAGAGACUGCCGGGGGCAUAUGUAUGCUGGUGCUAGAGGUGAAAUUCUGAGACCAUCAGCAGACAAUCUACUGCGAAAGCAUUUGCCAAGAAUGUUUUCAUUAAUCAAGAACGAAAGUCAGAGGAUCGAAGACGAUCAGAUACCGUCCUAGUUCUGACCAUAAACUAUGCCAACUGACAGUUAGCGAUGAUAUUUUAUCAUCUUGCUAGAAGUCACCGGGAAACCAAAGUCUUUGGGUUCCGGGGGAAGUAUGGUUGCAAAGCUGAAACUUAAAGGAAUUGACGGAAGGGCACCACCAGGAGUGGAGCCUGCGGCUUAAUUUGACUCAACACGGGAAAUCUCACCCGGUCCGGACACUGUGAGGAUUGACAGAUUGAUAGCUCUUUCUUGAUUCGGUGGGUGGUGGUGCAUGGCCGUUCUUAGUUGGUGGAGCGAUUUGUCAGGUUAAUUCCGAUAACGAACGAGACUCUGACUUACUAAAUAGUGGAUUUAUUUUAACUCGUAAAUAAUCAC